GAUGAAGAACGUAGCGAAAUGCGAUAAGUAGUGUGAAUUGCAGAAUUCAGUGAAUCAUCGAAUCUUUGAACGCACAUUGCGCCUCCUGGCAUUCCGGGAGGCAUGCCUGUUCGAGCGUCAUUAAAAUCACUCAAGCUUAGGUUUGCCUAUUGCUUGGUCUUGAAGUUGGAAGCUAAGUAAUUAGAAUCCUCUUCGAAAUCCAAUGGCGAAGACCCUUGCUCUCCCAAGUGUAGUAAUAACUUAUUCACUGAAGGAAGCGAGUAAUCUUCCGCCGUAACCCCCAUAUUUUCUAUGAUUGACCUCGGAUCAGGUAGGGAUACCCGCUGAACUUAAGCAUAUCAAUAAGCGGGAGGA
rnacentral:misc_RNA from 1 species